rnacentral:rRNA from 1 species
GAUGAACGCUAGCUACAGGCUUAACACAUGCAAGUCGAGGGGAAACGAUAUUGGAAGCUUGCUUCCGAUAGGCGUCGACCGGCGCACGGGUGAGUAACGCGUAUCCAACCUGCCCACCACUUGGGGAUAACCUUGCGAAAGUAAGACUAAUACCCAAUGAUAUCUCUAGAAGACAUCUGAAGGAGAUUAAAGAUUUAUCGGUGAUGGAUGGGGAUGCGUCUGAUUAGCUUGUUGGCGGGGUAACGGCCCACCAAGGCGACGAUCAGUAGGGGUUCUGAGAGGAAGAUCCCCCACAUUGGAACUGGGACACGGUCCAAACUGCUACGGGAGGCAGCAGUGAGGAAUAUUGGUCAAUGGACGAGAGUCUGAACCAGCCAAGUAGCGUGCAGGAUGACGGCCCUAUGGGUUGUAAACUGCUUUUAUAAGGGAAUAAAGUGAGCCUCGUGAGGCUUUUUGCAUGUACCUUAUGAAUAAGGACCGGCUAAUUCCGUGCCAGCAGCCGCAGUAA